UACGUUAAUCGGGGCAGGGUGAGUCGACCCCUAAGGCGAGGCCGAAAGGCGUAGUCGAUGGGAAACAGGUUAAUAUUCCUGUACUUGGUGUUACUGCGAAGGGGGGACGGAGAAGGCUAUGUUAGCCGGGCGACGGUUGUCCCGGUUUAAGCAUGUAGGCUGGUUAUCCAGGCAAAUCCGGAUAACCAAGGCUGAGGUGUGAUGACGAGGCACUACGGUGCUGAAGUAACAAAUGCCCUGCUUCCAGGAAAAGCCUCUAAGCAUCAGGUAACAUCAAAUCGUACCCCAAACCGACACAGGUGGUCAGGUAGAGAAUACCAAGGCGCUUGAGAGAACUCGGGUGAAGGAACUAGGCAAAAUGGUGCCGUAACUUCGGGAGAAGGUGCGCCGGCUAGGC
rnacentral:rRNA from 1 species